rnacentral:rRNA from 1 species
GAAGUAACGCCUGUUUAUCAAAAACAUCGCCUCUUGCUAAGAACAAUGUAUUAGAGGUCCCGCCUGCCCAGUGACUGUCCCGUUUAACGGCCGCGGUAUUAUAACCGUGCAAAGGUAGCGUAAUCAUUUGUCUUUUAAAUGAAGACCUGUAUGAAAGGCAUAACGAGGGUUCAACUGUCUCCUUCCCCCAGUCAAUGAAAUUGAUCUGCCCGUGCAGAAGCGGACAUAAUAGCAUAAGACGAGAAGACCCUGUGGAGCUUUAGGCUAAAGGAUCAAGCACGUAAAGAAAUAACAUAUAAACAAGAGAACUAAAAAAUAUUUAAACCCAGUGCCCAAAUGACCACAUGCCUUUGGUUGGGGCGACCACGGGGAAAAACAAAGCCCCCGUAUGGAAUGAACCACUUCCAAACCAAGAGAUACACCUCCAAGUAACAGAAAAUCUGACCAAACAUGACCCGGAAAAAACAAAUCCGAUCAAUGAACCAAGUUACCCCAGGGAUAACAGCGCAAUCCUUUCCAAGAGUCCCUAUCGACGAAAGGGUUUACGACCUCGAUGUUGGAUCAGGACAUCCUAAUGGUGGAGCCGCUAUUAAGGGUUCGUUUGUUCAACGAUUAAUAGUCCUACGUGAUCUGAGUUCAGACCGG